UACGUAGGGAGCGAGCGUUGUCCGGAUUUAUUGGGCGUAAAGAGCUCGUAGGCGGUUUGUCGCGUCUGCCGUGAAAGUCCGGGGCUCAACUCCGGAUCUGCGGUGGGUACGGGCAGACUAGAGUGAUGUAGGGGAGACUGGAAUUCCUGGUGUAGCGGUGAAAUGCGCAGAUAUCAGGAAGAACACCCGUGGCGAAGGCGGCUCUCUGGGACGGUACUGACGCUGAGACGCGAAAGCGUGGGGAGCGAACAGG
rnacentral:rRNA from 1 species